rnacentral:rRNA from 1 species
GAUGAACGCUGGCGGCGUGCCUAAUACAUGCAAGUCGAGCGAACAGACGAGGAGCUUGCUCCUCUGACGUUAGCGGCGGACGGGUGAGUAACACGUGGAUAACCUACCUAUAAGACUGGGAUAACUUCGGGAAACCGGAGCUAAUACCGGAUAAUAUAUUGAACCGCAUGGUUCAAUAGUGAAAGACGGUUUUGCUGUCACUUAUAGAUGGAUCCGCGCCGCAUUAGCUAGUUGGUAAGGUAACGGCUUACCAAGGCGACGAUGCGUAGCCGACCUGUGAGGGUGAUCGGCCACACUGGAACUGAGACACGCUCCAGACUCCUACGGGAGGCAGCAGUAGGGAAUCUUCCGCAAUGGGCGAAAGCCUGACGGAGCAACGCCGCGUGAGUGAUGAAGGUCUUCGGAUCGUAAAACUCUGUUAUUAGGGAAGAACAAAUGUGUAAGUAACUAUGCACGUCUUGACGGUACCUAAUCAGAAAGCCACGGCUAACUACGUG